GACGUAGGGUCCAAGCGUUGUCCGGAUUUACUGGGCGUAAAGAGCGCGUAGGCGGCUCGUUAAGUGUAGAGUGAAAUCUCUGGGCUCACCCCAGAAACUGCUCUGCAUACUGGCGAGCUUGAGGGAUGGAGAGGCUUGUGGAAUUCCUGGUGUAGCGGUGAAAUGCGUUGAUAUCAGGAGGAACACCCAUGGCGAAGGCAGCAAGCUGGUCAUCACCUGACGUUGAGGCGCGAAAGCGUGGGUAGCAAACAGG
rnacentral:rRNA from 1 species